rnacentral:rRNA from 1 species
GAUGAACGCUAGCGGCAGGCUUAAUACAUGCAAGUCGAGGGGCAGCACGGGUAGCAAUACCUGGUGGCGACCGGCAAACGGGUGCGGAACACGUACGCAACCUUCCCGAAACUGGUGAAUAGCCCUCCGAAAGGAGGAUUAAUACACCGUAAGAUAAUGGAGUGGCAUCACUCUAUUAUUAUAGCUACGGCGGUUUUGGAUGGGCGUGCGCCUGAUUAGGUAGUUGGCGGGGUAACGGCCCACCAAGCCUGCGAUCAGUAACUGGUGUGAGAGCACGACCAGUCACACGGGCACUGAGACACGGGCCCGACUCCUACGGGAGGCAGCAGAGGGGAAUAUUGCACAAUGGGCGAAAGACCUGAUGCAGCGACGCCGCGUGAAGGA